CCUACGGGUGGCUGCAGUGAGGAAUAUUGGUCAAUGGGCGCGAGCCUGAACCAGCCAAGUAGCGUGAGGGAAGACUGUCCUACGGAUUGUAAACCUCUUUUGUCAGGGAGCAAAAUGAGCCACGUGUGGCGUUCUGUGUGUACCCGAAGAAUAAGCAUCGGCUAACUCCGUGCCCGCAGCCGCGGUAAUACGGGGGAUACGAGCGUUAUCCGGGUUUAUUGGGUUUAAAGGGCGCGUAGGCGGAUGGUCAAGUCAGCGGUAAAAUUUUGGGGCUCAACCUCUUAUAGCCGUGGAAACUGGUAGUCUUGAGUGAGUGAGAAGUAUGCGGAAUGCGUGGUGUAGCGGUGAAAUGCAUAGAUAUCACGCAGAACUCCGAUUGCGAAGGCAGCAUACCGGCGUUCAACUGACGCUGAUGCACGAAAGUGUGGGUAUCGAACAGGAUUAGAUACCCUAGUAGUC
rnacentral:rRNA from 1 species